UAAGUGGGAAACGAUGUGGGAAGGCCCAGACAGCCAGGAUGUUGGCUUAGAAGCAGCCAUCAUUUAAAGAAAGCGUAAUAGCUCACUGGUCGAGUCGGCCUGCGCGGAAGAUGUAACGGGGCUAAACCAUGCACCGAAGCUGCGGCAGCGACGCUUAUGCGUUGUUGGGUAGGGGAGCGUUCUGUAAGCCUGUGAAGGUGUGCUGUGAGGCAUGCUGGAGGUAUCAGAAGUGCGAAUGCUGACAUAAGUAACGAUAAAGCGGGUGAAAAGCCCGCUCGCCGGAAGACCAAGGGUUCCUGUCCAACGUUAAUCGGGGCAGGGUGAGUCGACCCCUAAGGCGAGGCCGAAAGGCGUAGUCGAUGGGAAACAGGUUAAUAUUCCUGUACUUGGUGUUACUGCGAAGGGGGGACGGAGAAGGCUAUGUUGGCCGGGCGACGGUUGUCCCGGUUUAAGCGUGUAGGCUGGUUUUCCAGGCAAAUCCGGAAAAUCAAGGCUGAGGCGUGAUGACGAGGCACUACGGUGCUGAAGCAACAAAUGCCCUGCUUCCAGGAAAAGCCUCUAAGCAUCAGGUAACAUCAAAUCGUACCCCAAACCGACACAGGUGGUCAGGUAGAGAAUACCAAGGCGCUUGAGAGAACUCGGGUGAAGGAACUAGGCAAAAUGGUGCCGUAACUUCGGGAGAAGGCACGCUGAUAUGUAGGUGAAGUCCCUCGCGGAUGGAGCUGAAAUCAGUCGAAGAUACCAGCUGGCUGCAACUGUUUAUUAAAAACACAGCACUGUGCAAACACGAAAGUGGACGUAUACGGUGUGACGCCUGCCCGGUGCCGGAAGGUUAAUUGAUGGGGUCAGCGCAAGCGAAGCUCUUGAUCGAAGCCCCGGUAAACGGCGGCCGUAACUAUAACGGUCCUAAGGUAGCGAAAUUCCUUGUCGGGUAAGUUCCGACCUGCACGAAUGGCGUAAUGAUGGCCAGGCUGUCUCCACCCGAGACUCAGUGAAAUUGAACUCGCUGUGAAGAUGCAGUGUACCCGCGGCAAGACGGAAAGACCCCGUGAACCUUUACUAUAGCUUGACACUGAACAUUGAGCCUUGAUGUGUAGGAUAGGUGGGAGGCUUAGAAGUGUGGACGCCAGUCUGCAUGGAGCCGACCUUGAAAUACCACCCUUUAAUGUUUGAUGUUCUAACGUUGACCCGUAAUCCGGGUUGCGGACAGUGUCUGGUGGGUAGUUUGACUGGGGCGGUCUCCUCCUAAAGAGUAACGGAGGAGCACGAAGGUUGGCUAAUCCUGGUCGGACAUCAGGAGGUUAGUGCAAUGGCAUAAGCCAGCUUGACUGCGAGCGUGACGGCGCGAGCAGGUGCGAAAGCAGGUCAUAGUGAUCCGGUGGUUCUGAAUGGAAGGGCCAUCGCUCAACGGAUAAAAGGUACUCCGGGGAUAACAGGCUGAUACCGCCCAAGAGUUCAUAUCGACGGCGGUGUUUGGCACCUCGAUGUCGGCUCAUCACAUCCUGGGGCUGAAGUAGGUCCCAAGGGUAUGGCUGUUCGCCAUUUAAAGUGGUACGCGAGCUGGGUUUAGAACGUCGUGAGACAGUUCGGUCCCUAUCUGCCGUGGGCGCUGGAGAACUGAGGGGGGCUGCUCCUAGUACGAGAGGACCGGAGUGGACGCAUCACUGGUGUUCGGGUUGUCAUGCCAAUGGCACUGCCCGGUAGCUAAAUGCGGAAGAGAUAAGUGCUGAAAGCAUCUAAGCACGAAACUUGCC
rnacentral:rRNA from 1 species